GAUGAACGCUGGCGGCGUGCCUAAUACAUGCAAGUCGAGCGAACAGACGAGGAGCUUACUCCUCUGACGUUAGCGGCGGACGGGUGAGUAACACGUGGAUAACCUACCUAUAAGACUGGGAUAACUUCGGGAAACCGGAGCUAAUACCGGAUAACAUGUUGAACCGCAUGGUUCAACAGUGAAAGACGGUCUUGCUGUCACUUAUAGAUGGAUCCGCGUCGCAUUAGCUAGUUGGUAAGGUAACGGCUUACCAAGGCAACGAUGCGUAGCCGACCUGAGAGGGUGAUCGGCCACACUGGAACUGAGACACGGUCCAGACUCCUACGGGAGGCAGCAGUAGGGAAUCUUCCUCAAUGGGCGAAAGCCUGACGGAGCAACGCCGCGUGAGUGAAGAAGGUCUUCGGAUCGUAAAACUCUGUUAUUAGGGAAGAACAAAUGUGUAAGUAACUAUGCACGUCUUGACGGUACCUAAUCAGAAAGCCACGGCUAACUACGUG
rnacentral:rRNA from 1 species